GGUUCAUUCAAAUUUCUGCCCUAUCAACUUUCGACGGCUGGGUCUUGGCCAGCCAUGGUGACAACGGGUAACGGAGGGUUAGGGCUCGACCCCGGAGAAGGAGCCUGAGAAACGGUACUACAUCCAAGGAAGGCAGCAGGCGCGCAAAUUACCCAAUCCCGACCGGGGAGGUAGUGACAAUAAAUACUGAUACAGGGCUCUUUUGGGUCUUGUAAUUGGAAUGAGUACAAUUUAAAUCCCUUAAGAGGAACAAUUGGAGGGCAAGUCUGGUGCCAGCAGCCCGGGUAAUUCCAGCUCCAAUAGCGUAUAUUAAAGUUGUUGCAGUUAAAAAGCUCCGUGUUG
rnacentral:rRNA from 1 species